rnacentral:rRNA from 1 species
UGAACGCUAGCGGCAGGCUUAAUACAUGCAAGUCGAACGGCAGCACGGGUAGCAAUAUCUGGUGCGAGUGGCGGCGACGGGUGCGUAACACGUAUGCAACCUUCCUUCAACUGGAGAAUAGCUCACCGAAAGGUGAAUUAAUACUCCAUAAUAUUCGAGAGUGGCAUCACUUUCCAAUUAAAGUUCAGACGGUUGAAGAUGGGCAUGCGGAACAUUAGCUUGUUGGCGGGGUAACGGCCCACCAAGGCUACGAUGUUUAGGGGAUCUGAGAGGAUUAACCCCCCACACUGGUACUGAGACACGGACCAGACUCCUACGGGAGGCAGCAGUAAGGAAUAUUGGACAAUGGGCGCAAGCCUGAUCCAGCCAUGCCGCGUGCAGGAUGACGGCCCUAUGGGUUGUAAACUGCUUUUAUACGGGAAAAACCCCUCUACGUGUAGAGGGUUGAUGGUACCGUAAGAAUAAGGAUCGGCUAACUCCGUGCCAGCCG